rnacentral:lncRNA from 1 species
UUUAGAUCUACUCAACAUAAGCACAAUUUGAGACUACCAUCCAAACCUCCACAAUAACAUAAAACUAGGCGAUCCAGUAAUACGAUUACGUGAUAAAUUUCUGAUGGUGUUUUAAUUAAAUUGUGUCGUAAUUCAGAUGGAUGCGAGACUCGUCUUGUUUAUUUAUUUUGUUAAAUUUCUGAUGGUGUUUUAAUUAAAUUGUGUCGUAAUUCAGAUGGAUGCGAGACUCGUCUUGUUUAUUUAUUUUGUUUUCUGUUGUAGUACGUGAAGGAAAAGAUAUAGAA